AGAACAAUGUACAACUCUUAUCGAUAAGCCAUUGGAGGGCAAGUCUGGUGCCAGCAGCCGCGGUAAUUCCAGCUCCAAUAGCGUAUAUUAACGUUGUUGCAGUUAAAAAGCUCGUAGUUGAAGUGUGGGUGAUCGCUGUUGUGAGACUUCGGUCUCUCGACAGUAAGUCACCCCCUUCCAGUAUCCAGUAGUGGGUAUUCAGUUACUUACUAUUGUGUGUUGGUCCUUUACUGUGAGAAAAUUAGAGUGUUCAAAGCAGGCGUUUGCUUGAAUAGAUUAGCAUGGAAUAAUAAUUGAAGGCUUUCGUGUUCGAUUUGAUUGGUUUGUUCAUGGAAGCAAGGUUAAAAGGAACAGUUGGGGGUAUUCAUAU
rnacentral:rRNA from 1 species